CUGCCGCACAACAAUUUUUUGGCCAUGUACAUACAUAAAAAAAAAGCAUUAAACUAGCUAGCGGCUACCAAUAAAAAGCAAUUGGUCAACAAAAAAAAGUUAAGAAACAGAAAGUUACAAAAAAAAAAUAACAAAUUGAAAAGCAGCAGCGGCAACGGCAACGGAAAUGCACGUAGAGCCACCUAAAAGCAACAACUACAACAACAAGACGAAGAAGAGGAACUAUAACAGCAGAUAUUCACACGCCCCCAACUCACACACACCCACAAAUGCACACACACACACAAUUACAUUCAUGCCAGGCAAUGUAGCCGCCGUGUUGUGUGUCUGUGUGUAGAAGAAGAGCAAUCAAAAUUUUGUGAUUGCAACAAAUUGUUGAGCUAGGCAACUGCAGAAGGUGCUGCAACUGCUGGAAUUGGGAGCUGCAGCUGGAGCUGGAACUGGAGCCAGGGCAUCUGCAUAUAUCACAAACAUAUAGAAUACAAAUUUCAUACGCAGCGCUCAACAUAAAACCCAUUCAAAAUUCAUCGUCUAAGCAAAGCGGAUACAUAGAUGCAGCGAGCUCACAUGCCACGUGUCUAAAAGAAAGCAAUUGAAAAAAGAAUUUAACUCGAAUAAUACUACUAGAACCAAACACAAAUAAUAAAGCCAAUCAAAACCGAGCAUAUCACUUAUAUAGAGCAUAAACCAAAGAUAAACCUAUCAAACGUCGCAUUUAAAUAGGACAAAGAGCAAACAACAACAACAACAACAGCAACAGCAAUAACAACAACUGC